rnacentral:rRNA from 1 species
GAGAGGUGCAAGCGUUAUUCGGAAUGAUUGGGCGUAAAGGGUGUGUAGGCGGCGUACUAAGUCAAUUGUUAAAUCUCUCAGCCUAACUGGGAGACUGCGGUUGAAACUAGUAUGCUAGAGGAUGGAAGAGAGAAGUGGAAUUCUCGGAGUAGCGGUAAAAUGCGUAGAUCUCGAGAGGAACACCGAUGGCGAAGGCAGCUUCUUGGUCCAUUCCUGACGCUGAGGCACGAAAGCGUGGGGGGAGCAAACAGGAUUAGAUACCCUGGUAGUCCACGCCGUAAACGAUGAUCACUAGACGUUUGGUUUUGCCCUUGCAAGAUCAGUGUCGUAGCUAACGCGUUAAGUGAUCCGCCUGGGGAGUACGGUCGCAAGAUUA